rnacentral:rRNA from 1 species
UAGCAAUACAAGCUGUGUUUAGUGGCGCAAGGGUGCGUAACACGUGGGCAAUCUGCCGGGAAAUGGGGGAUAGCUCGCCGAAAGGCGAAUUAAUACCGCAUGUGGCCAGGGAGGACAUCCUCCUGAAGCUAAAGUCGGGGCAACCUGACGUUUCCUGAUGAGCCCGCGGCCUAUCAGCUAGUUGGCGAGGUAACGGCUCACCAAGGCGAUGACGGGUAGCUGGUCUGAGAGGACGACCAGCCACACUGGAACUGAGACACGGUCCAGACACCUACGGGUGGCAGCAGUCGAGAAUUUUUCUCAAUGGGGGAAACCCUGAAGGAGCGACGCCGCGUGGAGGAUGAAGGUUUUCGGAUUGUAAACUCCUGUCAUGAGGGAGCAAUGCUGGGGAUAGUAACUGAUUCCCAGUUGAUAGUACCUCAAGAGGAAGGGACGGCUAACUCUGUGCCAGCAGCCGCGGUAAUACAGAGGUCCCAAGCGUUGUUCGGAUUCAUUGGGCGUAAAGGGUGCGUAGGCGGUAUUGCAAGUCGGAUGUGAAAUCUUGGGGCUCAACCCCGAAACUGCAUUCGAUACUGCGGUGCUAGAGGACUCUAGAGGAAACCGGAAUUCACGGUGUAGCA